UAAAAAUGUAUUUUAAUUAACCCAAUUAUUAGUAGUUAUGUUCUUUAAAAUUAAAAAUUUUGGCGGUAUUUUAGUCUUUUCAGAGGAACCUGUUCUAUAAUCGAUAAUCCACGGUUUUAUUUUACUUAUAUUAAUAAAUUUGUAUAUCGUCGUAGUUGAAUAUUUUAAAAGAAUAAUAAUAUUCUGAAUUUAUUAUUUUAAAUUAAAUCAGAUCAAGGUGCAGUUUAUAUAUAAGGAGAAAUGGGUUACAAUAAAUUUAUUUAUUUAUGGUUUUAUUAAUUAAAAUUAAUAAUUAAAGUGGAUUUGAAAGUAAUUAAAAAAAGUUAUUUUUAAGGAUUAAGCUCUAAACUAUGU
rnacentral:rRNA from 1 species